rnacentral:lncRNA from 1 species
UUUUUUUUUUUUCUUUUUAGGGCCAUACCUGCAGCAUAUGGAAGUUCCCAUGCUAGGGGUCAAAUCAAAGCUGCAGCUGCCAGCCUAUGCCACAGCCACAGCAACAGAGGAUGUAAGCCAUGCCUGUGACCUACACUACAGCUCACAGCAAUACCAGAUCCCUGACCCAGUGAGCAAUACCAGGGAUCAAACCUACAUCCUCAUGGAUACUAGUCAGAUUGCUUUCCACUGUACCACAUUGGGAACUCCUCUUUAGUCUUAUUUUUUAAUUGGCCAUAACAGAGAAAUGACUGAAAGAAAAAUAUAAUAGUAUGUUGUGUGUUCAUAAUAUGUGUAAAAAUAAAAUACAUGACAAUAACAGCACAGAAUAUUAAAGGAAAGAAUUGAGAAUAUGCUAUUGAAAAUUUUAUGGAGUUCCUAUUGUGGCUCAUUGGGUUAAGGACAUGAUGUUGUCUCUGUGAGGAUGCAGGUAAAAUCACUGGUCUGGCUCAGUAGGUUAAGGAUCUGGCAUGCCUGCAAGUUGCGGCAUCAUUACAGAUGUAGCUUAGACCCCAUUCUGCCAUGGCUAUGGCAUAGGCACAGCUGCAGUUCCUAUUCAACUUAUGGCCUGGGAACUUCCAUAUACUGCAGGUAUGGCAAUAAAAAAAAAAUAGGAACACUUUAAAAAUUAAAAAUAAGGCAGGAAAAGAAGGAAAAAGAACAAAGAAUAACUGCUAAUGAAUUUAAAAAGCUAGGUGGAUAGUAGUCUUUAACCCAAAUAUAUCGAUUAUUAUAUUAAAUUGCCUAAAAACACCAAUUAAAUGUUAGAUUUUACAGUGGAUUAAAAAAAGCAAUAACAAGUACAUACUAUCCAUGGUAAAUCAACCUCAGUUAUAAAUAAUACGUUAAAAAACAAAAACAGAAAAAAGAUAUACCAUGUAAAUAAAAACCUAAAGAAAACUGAAGUAGCUGUAUUAAUAGCAGCAGAGAAAACAAUGGUACCCGGAGAAUAGAGAUAUAUUAAAUGAUGACAAAGGAGUCAAUACUUGGAGGGAAACUGAAUAUUCAUAUACCUAAUAACACAGCUACAAAAUAUAUGAGGCAAAAUCUGAUGAAACUGAAAGGAGAAAGAGACACAUCCAGAACUACAUUUGAAUACUUCAAUAUUUCUCUUUCAGCAAUUGCUAAAGCAGGUAGAUAUAAAACCAGUAAGGAUAUAGGAAAUCUGAAGAAUGCUAACAAUCAACUUUACCUGACAUUUCUAGAACAUUCCACCUAAUUAAAGCAGAAUACAUAUUCUUUCAAAUGUGCAUUGAACAUAAAAUUGACCAUGUUCUGCACUGUAAAACAAACCUCAGGAGUUCCUUUCAUGGCUCAGCAGUAACGAACCCAACUAGAAUCCAUGAGGAUGUGGGUUCAAUCCCUGGCCUUGCUCAAUGGGUUAAGGAUCUGGUGUUGCCAUGAGCUCUGUGUAGGUUGCAGAUGUGGCUCCAAUCCCAUGUUGUUGUACCUGUGGAGUAAGCUGGCAGGUGUAGCUCUGAUUUGAUUCCUAGCUUGUGAAUUUCCAUAUGCUGUGGGUGUGGCCCUUAAAAAAUAAAAUAAAACAGAUCUCAUCAAAUUUAAAGAACUGAAAUUAUUCAAAGUGUGCUUAGGCCCAAACAGAAUUAAGUAGAAAUCAGUAAGAGAAAACCAUCCAGAAAAAUCACAAGAGGUGUGGAAACUCAACAACUCACCUCUAAAUAUUAGGUAUUCCACUGUUACUAAAAAAGAGAAAAUGCAAUAUUGGGGCAACAGUCUUUUCUAGAUACAGAUAUAGAAAUAGAGUAAUUAUGCUGUCAGAGUAUCUCCAUGUUAGGUCAUGGAAAAAAAGAGUAUUUAAAGCAGUUGUUAUGGACUGAAUCUUGUGUCCCCCAAAAUUCACAUGUUGAAGUCAUCUGAUUUGGAGAUAGGAUCUUUGUGAGUUAAUAAGGUUUAAAAGAGGCCAUGAGUGUGGGGCCAACAGGGUGGGAUUAGGGUCCUCAUAGAAAGAGGAAGAAAGACCAGAGCUCUCCGUCUCUUACCAUUAUGUGAGGACUCAGCUAGAAAGCAGUUGGAUGCAAGUCACGAAACAAGUUCUAAUUGGGAAGUGAGUCAGCUGGCACCUUGACCUUGGACUUCCCAGCCUUCUGAACUGUGAGGAAUAAAUGUCUCUUGUUUCAGCUAUUAGCCUAUGGUAUUUUGUUAAAGCAGCCUGAUUUAACUAAGGAUGGCACGUCAUAUUACUGAGAGAGAGGGAACUGCCACCUCAGUUCUACUCAGUCCACCAAAUCAUAUGUGUAUAUCCUUUUAAAAAGGUGCUGGAGUUAUUAGCCUUUUUCUGCUCUUUCUGCUCAAUGGCUCUUUUACCAAGGUUUUGGCUCUCUAAUAUAUAUAUCCAUUCCUCUUCUGCCCCUUAGAGUGCUGACUCAGCCCUUUUUGGUGAGGCAAAGGAUCAGAAGAGCAACUGAAAAAUUAGGCUGCUCCAACUCAUUCAAUACACCACCUGGAAAAUGACUUCUGCCACCUCUCAAUGUUAGGAAUCCCUCAAUCAGAAGAGUCUACAAGGCUGACCAGUAGAGCAGACAAGGCAGUAUGAGGUCUUUAACAUUUACCUAGUUAAGUUAAUGCCAUACAAGGCACAUGGAGGCCAUUCAGUGCCAUCACUGAGCUCCAUAUAUCCAGUAAUUCUUAUACUUUUGUGAUUAUAAGUUCAGUACCAUUGGCACACUUUUGACUUAAUAUCUAAAUAUCUUGAUGAUCAAGCCAUCAAUUUCAUCUAAUCCUACUGAAUCAAUAGAUUCUUUUAUGAAAAUAAUAUGUACAAUAUUCCUACAUAUACUUGAGUACAUAGUUUUAACUUCUCUUUCCAAAACCUCUAACCAAAUUCACUUCAUUAUUGAUAUUUAACCUAAGAUUUGCUCAUUCUCCAGCACACUAUAUUUCCUUUCCAAUUGAUGCUGCCUAUCAUUUCUUUGCUAUUAAUUCUUUCUUUUUAAUUAGAUGGUAAGCUCUAUAAUGCCAUCGAUAGUCACUUUUUUUCCCUGCUCAUUUAUUCCUAGCACCUGGCACAUUGGCUCAGUAAAUAUCUGCUGCAGGAUACAUCCCACAGAUUUUUUAUUUUCUCUCCCUCUCUCUGUGUCUCUCUGUCUCUGUCUCUCUGUCUCUCUCUCACAUACACACACACACACACACACACUCACAUGGGAGCUUCUGGCUUCUUUGCUAAUAUACAUGUACCAGGUUUUCUCUUGUAGCAUUUGACACAGUUAUCUCAUCAUAUUCAUCAGAUAUGCCAAUGCUUAUUAGCCUCGGGGCAAUGC